AUUUAACUUUUUGUUGAAAUAUUUCGCAUAUUUCUAUUUUUAUUUCACAAUCGCGCGAAUUAUCUUUCUUUUUCCCUUCGUUCGCGCCCAAUACCCAAACCCUCACCAUUCAUGGCCAUUCGAGAGCUUCAACAGUUUUCAGACGACACAGUGCCAACAAUCAAAGUUAACUGCCACUGAAUAUAAGCUUGAAGGCUUGUUUGUCAACCUCUUCUCACUAUAAGCUACUCAAACAAGACUUCAUCCCGGUAGAUAACAACCCAGAUUUCACUGCCUGCUCACUGGAAAUGAAUGCUUGAGGCAACUUAUAAUCUGAAUUUCCGAUUGUUAUCAUUGUAAAUUCAGCAAGCAAAUUUUCUGUUUUCAGUCUUCUAGAAGUUUAUAUUAAAGACUUUUUAGUGAUAAAAAUUGAAUUGGUUAGGGACAGUGACCCAUGAUGAGAUUCUAUUUGUAUAUAUGCAGUUACUUAAUGGAGUUAAACCAUUGGCAUAUUUGACAGCUUUAUACACAUCACAAUGCUUUUGAUGAU